AUUGAACGCUGGCGGCAGGCUUAACACAUGCAAGUCGAGCGGAGCGGCGGACGGGUGCGUAAUGCCUAGGAAUAUGCCUGGUAGUGGGGGAUAACGUCCGGCAGCGGGCGCUAAUACCGCAUACUAUCAGAUUAGCCUUGGUCGGAUUAGCUAGUUGGUGGGGUAAUGGCCUACCAGGGCUACGAUCCGUAACUGGUCUGAGAGGAUGAUCAGUCACACUGGAACUGAGACACGGUCCAGACUCCUACGGAAGGCAGCAUUGGGGAAUAUUGGACAAUGGGCGAAAGCCUGAUCCAGCCAUGCCGCGUGUGUGAAGAAGGUCUUCGGAUUGUAAAGCACUUUAAGUUGGGAGGCGUUACCGACAGAAUAAGCACCGGCUAACUUCGUGCCAGCAGCCGCGGUAAUAC
rnacentral:rRNA from 1 species